rnacentral:rRNA from 1 species
UGGGGAAUAUUGCACAAUGGGCGCAAGCCUGAUGCAGCCAUGCCGCGUGUGUGAAGAAGGCCUUCGGGUUGUAAAGCACUUUCAGCGGGGAGGAAGGCGUUAAGGUUAAUAACCUUGGCGAUUGACGUUACCCGCAGAAGAAGCACCGGCUAACUCCGUGCCAGCAGCCGCGGUAAUACGGAGGGUGCAAGCGUUAAUCGGAAUUACUGGGCGUAAAGCGCACGCAGGCGGUCUGUCAAGUCAGAUGUGAAAUCCCCGGGCUCAACCUGGGAACUGCAUUCGAAACUGGCAGGCUAGAGUCUUGUAGAGGGGGGUAGAAUUCCAGGUGUAGCGGUGAAAUGCGUAGAGAUCUGGAGGAAUACCGGUGGCGAAGGCGGCCCCCUGGACAAAGACUGACGCUCAGGUGCGAAAGCGUGGGGAGCAAACAGG